GUUUGAUCCUGGCUCAGAUUGAACGCUGGCGGCAUGCCUUACACAUGCAAGUCGAACGGCAGCACGGAGCUUGCUCUGGUGGCGAGUGGCGAACGGGUGAGUAAUAUAUCGGAACGUACCCUGGAGUGGGGGAUAACGUAGCGAAAGUUACGCUAAUACCGCAUACGAUCUAAGGAUGAAAGUGGGGGAUUCGCAAGAACCUCAUGCUCCUGGAGCGGCCGAUAUCUGAUUAGCUAGUUGGUAGGGUAAAAGCCUAUCAAGGCAUCGAUCAGUAGCUGGUCUGAGAGGACGACCAGCCACACUGGAACUGAGACACGGUCCAGACUCCUACGGGAGGCAGCAGUGGGGAAUUUUGGACAAUGGGGGCAACCCUGAUCCAGCAAUGCCGCGUGAGUGAAGAAGGCCUUCGGGUUGUAAAGCUCUUUUGUCAGGGAAGAAACGGUGUGAGCUAAUAUCUCAUGCUAAUGACGGUACCUGAAGAAUAAGCACCGGCUAACUACGUGCCAGCAGCCGCGGUAAUACGUAGGGUGCAAGCGUUAAUCGGAAUUACUGGGCGUAAAGCGUGCGCAGGCGGUUUUGUAAGACUGUCGUGAAAUCCCCGGGCUCAACCUGGGAAUGGCGAUGGUGACUGCAAGGCUAGAGUUUGGCAGAGGGGGGUAGAAUUCCACGUGUAGCAGUGAAAUGCGUAGAUAUGUGGAGGAACACCGAUGGCGAAGCAGCCCCCUGGGUCAAACUGACGCUCAUGCACGAAAGCGUGGGGAGCAAACAGGAUUAGAUACCCUGGUAGUCCACGCCCUAAACGAUGUCUACUAGUUGUCCGGGUUUUAAUUAACUUGUGAACGCAGCUAACGCGUGAAGUAGACCNCUGGGGGAGGUACGGUCGCAGAUUAAAACUCAAAGGAAUUGACGGGGACCCGC
rnacentral:rRNA from 1 species